UACGGCCAUAUCACGUUAAAAACACCGGUUCUCAUAUGAUCACCAGAGUUAAGCAAUGUCGAGCCUGGUCAGUACCUAGAUGGGUGGCCGCUUGGGAAUACUAAAUGCUGCAA